CCAAAACACACUACCUUGGCUCCAACCUUCAGACUUCAUGCUUCAAGUAUCAUAUAUAUCUACAAUAAAACUAGGAUAGUAGCCAUAUACUAGCCAAAAAAAAAAACCAAUGCAGUGUUUGACAAUCCUAACAAGAAUAUUAGAAACAACAGGCUAAGCUUCCGACUUAACUAGUGACAAUCUACUACUGAGUUAUCAGAGAGUUAUUGCUUACCUUUAAAUGGGACUUGAUCUUUCCAAUUAUAA
rnacentral:lncRNA from 1 species